rnacentral:rRNA from 1 species
UGCUGGAGGUAUCAGAAGUGCGAAUGCUGACAUAAGUAACGAUAAAGCGGGUGAAAAGCCCGCUCGCCGGAAGACCAAGGGUUCCUGUCCAACGUUAAUCGGGGCAGGGUGAGUCGACCCCUAAGGCGAGGCCGAAAGGCGUAGUCGAUGGGAAACGGGUUAAUAUUCCCGUACUUGGUGUUACUGCGAAGGGGGGACGGAGAAGGCUAUGUUGGCCGGGCGACGGUUGUCCCGGUUUAAGCGUGUAGGUGUGUGUUCCAGGUAAAUCCGGUUCACUUUAACACUGAGGCGUGACGACGAGGCACUACGGUGCUGAAGCAACAAAUGCCCUGCUUCCAGGAAAAGCCUCUAAGCAUCAGGUAACACGAAAUCGUACCCCAAACCGACACAGGUGGUCAGGUAGAGAAUACCAAGGCGCUUGAGAGAACUCGGGUGAAGGAACUAGGCAAAAUGGUGCCGUAACUUCGGGAGAAGGCACGCUGACACGUAGGUGAAGUGAUUUACUCAUGGAGCUGAAGUCAGUCGAAGAUACCAGCUGGCUGCAACUGUUUAUUAAAAACACAGCACUGUGCAAACACGAAAGUGGACGUAUACGGUGUGACGCCUGCCCGGUGCCGGAAGGUUAAUUGAUGGGGUCAGCGCAAGCGAAGCUCCUGAUCGAAGCCCCGGUAAACGGCGGCCGUAACUAUAACGGUCCUAAGGUAGCGAAAUUCCUUGUCGGGUAAGUUCCGACCUGCACGAAUGGCGUAAUGAUGGCCAGGCUGUCUCCACCCGAGACUCAGUGAAAUUGAACUCGCUGUGAAGAUGCAGUGUACCCGCGGCAAGACGGAAAGACCCCGUGAACCUUUACUAUAGCUUGACACUGAACAUUGAGCCUUGAUGUGUAGGAUAGGUGGGAGGCUUUGAAGUGUGGACGCCAGUCUGCAUGGAGCCGACCUUGAAAUACCACCCUUUAAUGUUUGAUGUUCUAACGUGGACCCGUAAUCCGGGUUGCGGACAGUGUCUGGUGGGUAGUUUGACUGGGGCGGUCUCCUCCUAAAGAGUAACGGAGGAGCACGAAGGUUGGCUAAUCCUGGUCGGACAUCAGGAGGUUAGUGCAAUGGCAUAAGCCAGCUUGACUGCGAGCGUGACGGCGCGAGCAGGUGCGAAAGCAGGUCAUAGUGAUCCGGUGGUUCUGAAUGGAAGGGCCAUCGCUCAACGGAUAAAAGGUACUCCGGGGAUAACAGGCUGAUACCGCCCAAGAGUUCAUAUCGACGGCGGUGUUUGGCACCUCGAUGUCGGCUCAUCACAUCCUGGGGCUGAAGUAGGUCCCAAGGGUAUGGCUGUUCGCCAUUUAAAGUGGUACGCGAGCUGGGUUUAGAACGUCGUGAGACAGUUCGGUCCCUAUCUGCCGUGGGCGCUGGAGAACUGAGGGGGGCUGCUCCUAGUACGAGAGGACCGGAGUGGACGCAUCACUGGUGUUCGGGUUGUCAUGCCAAUGGCACUGCCCGGUAGCUAAAUGCGGAAGAGAUAAGUGCUGAAAGCAUCUAAGCACGAAACUUGCCCCGAGAUGAGUUCUCCCUGAGACUUAGAGUCUCCUGAAGGAACGUUGAAGACGACGACGUUGAUAGGCCGGGUGUGUAAGCGCAGCGAUGCGUUGAGCUAACCGGUACUAAUGAACCGUGA